GUUUGGAAGCUUAAAAAAUAGUUAACAGGUGAUGAAGUUACCAUCACAGUGUCCAAGAUGAGGACAGCAAAGAGGAGACCAAUCAUAUCAGUGAUGCUCUCUGACGUUCAAGAUGCACCCUAACUUGGCACUUGGCGCUGUCACAGCCACCCUGCAGGCACGACAGAGGUCCCCAAGGCUGAGAUCCUUUAUGAUUUUAACACAGGCAGUUCAGGAAGCUGCAGUGUCCCCUUCCAGGCCACCAGUAGCCAGUCAAGAGAGUGGACGACCAAGCAAACCCCAAGAAGAGAAGCGCGCCUACCCUCUUCUCCUGCGUCACCGCGUACUCCACUACCUCGGCUCCAUUUUCGUUGUGAUAAACCAGAUCAAACUUCCCAGGUUCUUUCACGGC